rnacentral:rRNA from 1 species
GAUGAACGCUGGCGGCGUGCCUAAUACAUGCAAGUCGAACGGUCACACGAGUGGUUUUCUCGUCUGACUUAAUCGGCGGACGGGUGAGUUACACGUGUCUAACCCAACUAUAAGACUUGGCUGAUUUCGCGAAACCUGCGCUUAUACCGGAGAAUUUAUUCAACAGCAAGGGUCCAUAGCGGAUUACCGUUUUGCUGGUGUUUAUGACUGGAUCGGCUCCGCAUUAUCUAGUGUGUAAGGUAACGACUUACCAAGGCAACGAUGCGUAGCGGACCAGAGAGGGUGAUCGGCCACACUGGAAGUGAGACACGGUCCAGACACCGACGGGAGGAAGCAGUAGAGAAUCUUACGCAAUGGAGGAAAGCGUGAUGGAGCAAAGCCGCGUGAAUGAUGAAGGUGUUCGGAUCGUAAAACGCUGUAAUUAGGGAGGAAGAAAUGUGUAAUUAACAAUGAACGUCUUGACGGUACCUGAUCAAAAAGCAACGGCUAACUACGUG